ensembl:lncRNA
UGGCCAGGGCGUGAUUAACGGGUAUUCUAAAACUUGAUCAAAUUUGACUUGCUGCAGCCUUAACAAUACAUUACAGGUCUUUAAGCUGACGCUUUUAUCCAAAGCGACUUACAUUGCAUUUUUAACCCAUGGCUUUUUACAUUUUAGCCCGGGGAGCAAUUAGCAGUUAGGUGUCUUGCUCAGAGACACCUCGACAUGGAGCAGCCGGGGCACGAACUACCAACCUUGCAGUUCCCGCCGCACCCGCUCUACCCAUGCGCCACUGUGGCCCGUUAACAGUUGGUUUAUUUAUGAAUAGGUGACUCAAUGUUGGUCCAAAUGCCUCUUCUAGUCCACUGUUGCUCUUUUAUUUUUCCCAGUAGGUGAAAGGAGGACCGAGUUUUGAAGCGGAUCGGCCCAAAGCAAAGGCAACCAGUCUGUUGUUGUUGUUGCAGCAAGGUAUUUAUAUUAUAUAUCCUCAAUAUUUCAGUGUAAUCAAAGGUUUGUCGGCUGGCCUUCGCCUAAAGAGGGGCAACAUUGCAAUAAUGAAUGCUACUUAUUAGAAACUUGGUGUGUGUAUUUCAAUUAUUGCCAACACUCCCAUGAAAAAAAAGCUGAGCGCCACAAAAUGAAGAAAAUAUUUUCGGCUGUAGAUUAAUGCACACUGUGUGCACAGGUCAGUGCAUUAACUUAAAAUAAACAGUGCCAUUGUUGUUUGUAAUGAAGAAAUAACUUGCAGAGGAGACAGAGGAUGAGGUUAUGUUGGAAGAUAUGUGUUACUAGGAUCAGUUUAUUGAUAGUUUGGAUCUUUUGGGAAUUUGUUGACAACAAAAUCAUUUUAUACUGUUGAACUUAUCCUUUACAGGAUAACUAAGCUCACUAUUUACUUGCUGCAUCAGCUCAUCUUUCUUUUAAGUCACAUUUCAUAAGCAUCCACGGAGCACACUUAGUUCAUUAAGGGAUUUACUCCAGAGUUCCUCCGACGGCUGUUUCACCAGAUCAAAUCAUUUGCGGUGACACAUUAAAGAACAGUCCUACUUCCUUACUAAUCACAUUAAAUACAUUGCUGCUUGUCAACUAGCCAUUUAGCUGGUAAAUUAAUCAUAAAUAUGUACUUCUUACGACCUAAUUGUAGACAUGUUGUGGAGCAGGGGUCCCUACUGACAAAUACAUUCAUCUUAGUUCUAACCUAGGAGAUAAACAACAUCUUCCAAAUGAAAGAAGGGAUUAAUUUGCGGCGCUGGUGGGUGGACAGCUGAUAUGAGGAUUAUCAGCAUGACGUGUGAUAGUAAUAUGGGGAAAGAUUGUUGAACAUGUUUUAACAGUUUGCAGGGAACUAAUUCAUCUCACCCAUGGCGCCACCAUGGCAAAUGUGAUGAACUCAAAUUAAGCAAAUAUAAUGAGGGGAAUUAAAUCCAGCUUUACAUAAUGACCAAUUUAUAGAGCUGUAGGAUUAUGAGAAUUGGUCGUUUUUACAAGAGGAAAAAAACCCCACUUCCAAGCGGGUACAUUCAACUCUGAGUUUGUCCAAGUUUACCUCUGACUCUGAAAGCCCAUACUUUUCUUAGAGAGAAAAACAAGCGGCAGAAGUCAUUAAAUUCUGUUUUUGUUUUUUCAAAUACCACAUAAUGAGACAUCGUAUUUAAUGUUUGUCAAGACUUGACGCUAAAAACCGAUCCAAAAUAAUGGGUUUCUUGUCUCCGUACAGUAUCACAGUUUAAGUACUGGAAGGUGAACGGGUGACAACAUCUCCCGCCACACUGCAAUGUUUAUCCUUCCUCUCCUGCAAUUUGUUUGCAUUCUCUGGCUGCCGUUGACAAUCAUUUUUCUUUGGUUGCCAAGCAAUGGGGCGCAGAGCGCUGUGAAAGACCAUACCUCACUCAUUAAAAUUCUAGACUCUAGCCACACGUAGAGUUCUGAGCUGUGUGUGUGUGUGUGUGUGUGUGUGUGUGUGUGUGUGUGUGUCGUGCAUUAAGUUUCCUUUCUACAAAGCCCGUUAACGAUUGGAGUCAUACUGCAGUACCACGAUGUCAAUAUGACACCGAAUGUGUCUUCCCUGUACAUUUCGCUGGCUGAUGAUGCUGUAUUGAAGUAACUCGUGGCUCACGCGCUUUAUUGAUCUAUGACUUAUGCUGGGAUAGUGUUUGUUGAUAUUUAAAUUAGUCAAAGAAGUUAAAGUGCGUGACAUUUGACACGAUUGAUGCAUUGCUAAUACAUGUUAACUGCACUUUAUAUACGUUUGUUUCGGAUAUUUUUAAUCAAAGUUAACGCAAGAGCCCAUUUGCGUUAACUUUUUCUUCAAACGGAUUCUCAGGUCAAUAGUUGGAGCACAAGGAGGUGGCAUGCAACCUUGAGAAGUAUGGUAGCUUCUAACGAAAGGGAUCCAUUCUCCUCAGUGUCACUCCUCACAAGGCUGACUAAAAUGUGAUUUUCUUGACACAGCAUGAGUAAGAGUUGUUGUUGCUGUUGCUGUGUUGAUGCCCGUCAGAGCUCUACGAAAUCAAUUUAACUUUGUUUUGCAGAUGGUGUUUUGAGAUUUAAUUUAACUGAAUUAGUUUUUUGUCUAAUCUGCAAACCGGACCAGGAAAGUUCCCCCUGGUUCUGUCCCUCGC